rnacentral:rRNA from 1 species
AUGGACGGCCAAAGGGGCGUGGUUCAUCUGUUCCCAUUCGAACACAGAAAUUAAGAACGUCUCCGUAUCUUGCUGUACUGCAUUACGCGGGAAACUUGGUAAGUUGUCCACC